CUAAGGGAAGCAGAUCAGUCCUCAUGAGAACACCUGUAAUUUUCCUGCUCCUGUAUGUGGGAGCGAUGGGUUUUGGCAUCGUGUGUUCAGCGGUGCAGAGUCAAACCUGUGGAACGAGUGCUGAACUUACAGCAGAACAAUGAACUGAUGUG